GGAUUGUGGCUCAGCGGUAGAGCGCUCACCUAACAUGCAUGAGGUACUGGGUUCUAUCCUCAGCACCA
rnacentral:tRNA from 1 species